GAUCGCACGCAACUGAAGCCAGAAUUGAACUCCUGACGGAAAAUGGAGUCUGAUGGUGCAUGAGUCGCCCGAUUCUCAAUUGGAAGUAGCAUUUUCUGAAUUCCGGCUAUAGCUCUGCUCUUUCACUGUUAAAAAGAAAUUCUCUAAUUUUAGUAUUGAUAUAUUAAAUAGGUAAAUGUCCGAAGGCUUAUCUGUAUACAUCUGUUAGCGAACUCCGCAGUUGUAGAAUUUGUGUACAAUUAGUCGUGUAUUAACAUAGACGAUAUAAUUACGUGAGCCCAUAUUAAAGAUGCGAUGUAUUGUUAAUUUGGCCCGAACUGUGAAAUUUUGUAGAAGAUAAAUUUGGGCCGAGAUGUAAUAAAAUCUUGAGGUUUAUUUUUUUUAGUAAUACGGGCUGAAUAUUUGAAAUUUA